rnacentral:rRNA from 1 species
GAUGAACGCUGGCGGCGUGCCUAAUACAUGCAAGUCGAGCGAACAGAUAAGGAGCUUGCUCCUUUGACGUUAGCGGCGGACGGGUGAGUAACACGUGGGUAACCUACCUAUAAGACUGGAAUAACUCCGGGAAACCGGGGCUAAUGCCGGAUAACAUUUAGAACCGCAUGGUUCUAAAGUGAAAGAUGGUUUUGCUAUCACUUAUAGAUGGACCCGCGCCGUAUUAGCUAGUUGGUAAGGUAACGGCUUACCAAGGCAACGAUACGUAGCCGACCUGAGAGGGUGAUCGGCCACACUGGAACUGAGACACGGCCCAGACUCCUACGGGAGGCAGCAGUAGGGAAUCUUCCGCAAUGGGCGAAAGCCUGACGGAGCAACGCCGCGUGAGUGAUGAAGGUCUUCGGAUCGUAAAACUCUGUUAUUAGGGAAGAACAAAUGUGUAAGUAACUGUGCACGUCUUGACGGUACCUAAUCAGAAAGCCACGGCUAACUACGUG